rnacentral:rRNA from 1 species
GACGGAGGAUGCAAGUGUUAUCCGGAAUCACUGGGCGUAAAGCGUCUGUAGGUGGUUUAAUAAGUCAACUGUUAAAUCUUGAGGCUCAACUUCAAAAUCGCAGUCGAAACUAUUAGACUAGAGUACAGUAGGGGUAAAGGGAAUUUCCAGUGGAGCGGUGAAAUGCGUAGAGAUUGGAAAGAACACCAAUGGCGAAAGCACUUUACUGGGCUAUCACUGACACUGAGAGACGAAAGCUAGGGUAGCAAAUGGG